GGGUUGUGAGGUUAAGCGACUAAGCGUACACGGUGGAUGCCCUGGCAGUCAGAGGCGAUGAAGGACGUGCUAAUCUGCGAUAAGCGUCGGUGAGGUGAUAUGAACCGUUAUAACCGGCGAUUUCCGAAUGGGGAAACCCAGUGUGUUUCGACACACUAUCAUUAACUGAAUCCAUAGGUUAAUGAGGCGAACCGGGGGAACUGAAACAUCUAAGUACCCCGAGGAAAAGAAAUCAACCGAGAUUCCCCCAGUAGCGGCGAGCGAACGGGGAGGAGCCCAGAGCCUGAAUCAGUGUGUGUGUUAGUGGAAGCGUCUGGAAAGGCGCGCGAUACAGGGUGACAGCCCCGUACACAAAAAUGCACAUACUGUGAGCUCGAUGAGUAGGGCGGGACACGUGGUAUCCUGUCUGAAUAUGGGGGGACCAUCCUCCAAGGCUAAAUACUCCUGACUGACCGAUAGUGAACCAGUACCGUGAGGGAAAGGCGAAAAGAACCCCGGCGAGGGGAGUGAAAAAAGAACCUGAAACCGUGUACGUACAAGCAGUGGGAGCCUCUUAAUGGGGUGACUGCGUACCUUUUGUAUAAUGGGUCAGCGACUUAUAUUCUGUAGCAAGGUUAACCGAAUAGGGGAGCCGAAGGGAAACCGAGUCUUAACUGGGCGCUAAGUUGCAGGGUAUAGACCCGAAACCCGGUGAUCUAGCCAUGGGCAGGUUGAAGGUUGGGUAACACUAACUGGAGGACCGAACCGACUAAUGUUGAAAAAUUAGCGGAUGACUUGUGGCUGGGGGUGAAAGGCCAAUCAAACCGGGAGAUAGCUGGUUCUCCCCGAAAGCUAUUUAGGUAGCGCCUCGUGAAUUCAUCUCCGGGGGUAGAGCACUGUUUCGGCAAGGGGGUCAUCCCGACUUACCAACCCGAUGCAAACUGCGAAUACCGGAGAAUGUUAUCACGGGAGACACACGGCGGGUGCUAACGUCCGUCGUGAAGAGGGAAACAACCCAGACCGCCAGCUAAGGUCCCAAAGUCAUGGUUAAGUGGGAAACGAUGUGGGAAGGCCCAGACAGCCGGGGAUGUUGGCUUAGAAGCAGCCAUCAUUUAAAGAAAGCGUAAUAGCUCACUGGUCGAGUCGGCCUGCGCGGAAGAUGUAACGGGGCUAAACCAUGCACCGAAGCUGCGGCAGCGACACUAUGUGUUGUUGGGUAGGGGAGCGUUCUGUAAGCCUGUGAAGGUGGCCUGUGAGGGUUGCUGGAGGUAUCAGAAGUGCGAAUGCUGACAUAAGUAACGAUAAAGCGGGUGAAAAGCCCGCUCGCCGGAAGACCAAGGGUUCCUGUCCAACGUUAAUCGGGGCAGGGUGAGUCGACCCCUAAGGCGAGGCCGAAAGGCGUAGUCGAUGGGAAACAGGUUAAUAUUCCUGUACUUGGUGUUACUGCGAAGGGGGGGACGGAGAAGGCUAUGUUGGCCGGGCGACGGUUGUCCCGGUUUAAGCGUGUAGGCUGGUUUUCCGGAAAUCCGGAAAACCAAGGCUGAGGCGUGAUGACGAGGCACUACGGUGCUGAAGCGACAAAUGCCCUGCUUCCAGGAAAAGCCUCUAAGCAUCAGGUAACAUCAAAUCGUACCCCAAACCGACACAGGUGGUCAGGUAGAGAAUACCAAGGCGCUUGAGAGAACUCGGGUGAAGGAACUAGGCAAAAUGGUGCCGUAACUUCGGGAGAAGGCACGCUGAUAUGUAGGUGAAGCGACUUGCUCGUGGAGCUGAAAUCAGUCGAAGAUACCAGCUGGCUGCAACUGUUUAUUAAAAACACAGCACUGUGCAAACACGAAAGUGGACGUAUACGGUGUGACGCCUGCCCGGUGCCGGAAGGUUAAUUGAUGGGGUUAGCGGCAACGCGAAGCUCUUGAUCGAAGCCCCGGUAAACGGCGGCCGUAACUAUAACGGUCCUAAGGUAGCGAAAUUCCUUGUCGGGUAAGUUCCGACCUGCACGAAUGGCGUAAUGAUGGCCGGGGCUGUCUCCACCCGAGACUCAGUGAAAUUGAACUCGCUGUGAAGAUGCAGUGUACCCGCGGCAAGACGGAAAGACCCCGUGAACCUUUACUAUAGCUUGACACUGAACAUUGAGCCUUGAUGUGUAGGAUAGGUGGGAGGCUUUGAAGUGUGGACGCCAGUCUGCAUGGAGCCGACCUUGAAAUACCACCCUUUAAUGUUUGAUGUUCUAACGUUGGCCCGUAAUCCGGGUUGCGGACAGUGUCUGGUGGGUAGUUUGACUGGGGCGGUCUCCUCCUAAAGAGUAACGGAGGAGCACGAAGGUUGGCUAAUCCUGGUCGGACAUCAGGAGGUUAGUGCAAUGGCAUAAGCCAGCUUGACUGCGAGCGUGACGGCGCGAGCAGGUGCGAAAGCAGGUCAUAGUGAUCCGGUGGUUCUGAAUGGAAGGGCCAUCGCUCAACGGAUAAAAGGUACUCCGGGGAUAACAGGCUGAUACCGCCCAAGAGUUCAUAUCGACGGCGGUGUUUGGCACCUCGAUGUCGGCUCAUCACAUCCCCGGGGCUGAAGUAGGUCCCAAGGGUAUGGCUGUUCGCCAUUUAAAGUGGUACGCGAGCUGGGUUUAGAACGUCGUGAGACAGUUCGGUCCCCUAUCUGCCGUGGGCGCUGGAGAACUGAGGGGGGCUGCUCCUAGUACGAGAGGACCGGAGUGGACGCAUCACUGGUGUUCGGGUUGUCAUGCCAAUGGCACUGCCCGGUAGCUAAAUGCGGAAGAGAUAAGUGCUGAAAGCAUCUAAGCACGAAACUUGCCCCGAGAUGAGUUCUCCCUGACUCCUUGAGGGUCCUGAAGGAACGUUGAAGACGACGACGUUGAUAGGCCGGGUGUGUAAGCGCAGCGAUGCGUUGAGCUAACCGGUACUAAUGAACCGUGAGGCUUAACCUUACAACGCCGAAG
rnacentral:rRNA from 1 species